rnacentral:rRNA from 1 species
UGGGGAAUCUUGGACAAUGGGCGCAAGCCUGAUCCAGCCAUGCCGCGUGAGUGAAGAAGGCCUUCGGGUUGUAAAGCUCUUUUUACCAGGGACGAUAAUGACGGUACCUGGAGAAUAAGCCCCGGCAAACUUCGUGCCAGCAGCCGCGGUAAUACGAAGGGGGCUAGCGUUGUUCGGAAUUACUGGGCGUAAAGCGCACGUAGGCGGAUUGUUAAGUCAGAGGUGAAAUCCCGGAGCUCAACUUCGGAACUGCCUUUGAUACUGGCAAUCUAGAGUCCGGAAGAGGUUAGUGGAAUUCCCAGUGUAGAGGUGAAAUUCGUAGAUAUUGGGAAGAACACCAGUGGCGAAGGCGGCCAACUGGCUCGAUACUGACGCUGAGGUGCGAAAGCGUGGGGAGCAAACAGGAUUAGAUACCCGAGUAGUCCCUGAGCGGGCUGGCAAGGCGCAU